AUUGAACGCUGGCGGAAUGCUUUACACAUGCAAGUCGAACGGCAGCACGGGGCAACCUGGUGGCGAGUGGCGAACGGGUGAGUAAUACAUCGGAACGUGCCCAAUCGCGGGGGAUAACGUAGCGAAAGUUACGCUAAUACCGCAUACGAUCUACGGAGGAAAGCGGGGGAUCGCAAGACCUCGCGCGAAUGGAGCGGCCGAUGUCAGAUUAGGUAGUUGGGGGGGUAAAGGCUCACCAACCCAAUGAUCUGUAGCUGGUCUGAGAGGACGACCAGCCACACUGGGACUGAGACACGGCCCAGACUCCUACGGGAGGCAGCAGUGGGGAAUUUUGGACAAUGGGCGCAAGCCUGAUCCAGCCAUUCCGCGUGCAGGAUGAAGGCCUUCGGGUUGUAAACUGCUUUUGUACGGAACGAAACGGCUCUCUCUAAUACAGGGGGCUAAUGACGGUACCGUAAGAAUAAGCACCGGCUAACUACGUGCCAGCAGCCGCCGUAAGAC
rnacentral:rRNA from 1 species